rnacentral:tRNA from 1 species
GGGUCCAUAGCUCAGUGGCAGAGCGUUCCGUUCACAUCGGAAAGGUCGAUGGUUCAAUCCCAUCUGGACCCA